UUUUGGGUUGAUUUCAGUUUAUUUACAAAAUUGCCAUCGGGCUGAUUUCAAUCCAAUUUUCGAUUUAUUUACACGAUUACCACUGGGCUUAAGAACGGUUUUUCAGUGUUUGGGCUGGAUCUGGACUUUGAGUCGGGGAGAGAGAGGGAAGGGGGACAGAAGGGUUGACGGGUUAGAGGGAGAGGUUCGCCGGGAUUUAGAGGAGAGGGGAGAGGGGAAAGGAUUCGGCAGUGAGGUAUGGGUUUAGGGAGAGUAAGGGAGAAGUAUGGGGUAGUUUGAUUUCCAGGGAUUUCUUUUCACCCCUUCACUAUGGAGGUAUGGGUUUAGGGAGAAAGAGUGGGAGCAGCUUCCGAUCACUUCACUCUCUCCUUUCGAAACAAUCAGUUUAUAAUCCCAUUUAGCAGAGUCGUGUCGCUUCCAAAUGAAGAAAAUGAUAAGUCCUCUUCUUCUGAUGCUCAGAAAUACAAAGUACCCAAAAAUCUGAAGUGGAAAAGAAAGGGGAUGGACAGAAGUCCCUGGCAGCAAUCUCUCUAUAAUCAUCGCCGGGAAAAUAUCGUGGUCAUUUUGAGCUCGGAUUCAGCCAGCAUGUGGUAAGCGUUUCUUUUCCGAUUACUUUCAUUUGUUUAUUUGUGAAUCAAUAACUUUUUUAGGAAUAAUGAAUGUCACAAUUGCUGAUAAAUUGAUACUUUGUCUGGAGCUUGAACUGUGGAUCUGUGCAAUUCUCAAGGACCUGCAUCUGGUCCUCUCCCUGAUCCUCCUAAUGAUUAUGACACAUAUUACUCAAUGAAUCAAGCAAGAUCCAUAAGGUUCACGUACAAAUGUGACUAGCAGGUAAAGUUCCAUAAGGAGGUGGAAGCAGAAGAAGAAUUGGCGUCACCCUUCAGUUUUUCAACCAAAAGGAGCUAACCUUUAUAAAUGAUUGAGUAAACUGUCAUUUAACCCUCUAAACUAUCACGUGAGUGUCAAUUUCCCCCCUAAACUAUUUUUUUAGCCCCCCUAAACUAUGUUAAAGUGGCUAAUUCACCCCCUACCGUUAAGUAUCUUUAACUCCAUAUAAUUUUCUGUUAGAAAGUGUCAUGUGCUUGGCACAUGACCACCUUUUUACAUUUUCUGUCUAAAUCUUUACAAAGAAAACAUAUAAAACAAAUAUUAAAAAAAAAAAAA